rnacentral:rRNA from 1 species
GAUGAACGCUGGCGGCGUGCCUAAUACAUGCAAGUCGAGCGAACAGACGAGGAGCUUGCUCCUCUGACGUUAGCGGCGGACGGGUGAGUAACACGUGGAUAACCUACCUAUAAGACUGGGAUAACUUCGGGAAACCGGAGCUAAUCCCGGAUAAUAUAUUGAACCGCAUGGUUCAAUAGUGAAAGACGGUUUUGCUGUCACUUAUAGAUGGAUCCGCGCCGCAUUAGCUAGUUGGUAAGGUAACGGCUUACCAAGGCGACGAUGCGUAGCCGACCUGAGAGGGUGAUCGGCCACACGGGAACGGAGACACGGUCCAGACUCCUACGGGAGGCAGCAGUAGGGAAUCUUCCGCAAUGGGCGAAAGCCUGACGGAGCAACGCCGCGUGAGUGAUGAAGGUCUUCGGAUCGUAAAACUCUGUUAUUAGGGAAGAACAAAUGUGUAAGUAACUAUGCACGUCUUGACGGUACCUAAUCAGAAAGCCACGGCUAACUACGUG